rnacentral:tRNA from 3 species
GUGUACUUAGCUCAGUGGUCAGAGCAUCACUCAUGAAUGCUGAGGUUGUGGGUUUGAGUCCCACAGUACACA